GUGAGACAGAGGAUCACAGUCAAACUCACAGGAGGAAGGGAGGGAGAAGUUGCAUCUCUUUAGCUGUACCUUUUUGUUUCAUCACAAGACACACAUCCUCCCUGUCUCUCAGUGCCAAUGACUUCAGGUACUGCUCCACACUCAGAACCUCCUUCAGAGCAGUGCUGCACCACACCCAGCAAUGAGUACGGAGGGCAGGGACAGGGCAUUGUUCUGAAUCACAGGGCACUGCAUCAGUAGUGCCGGUAUCAGCUCCUACAGCAUCUAUCUGUCUCCUCAGGGAUGUGCCUGUGUUACAACUGACCAGGAAAUGGAGAAGCACCUUAAUAAAAAAGGAACAGAAACUAA